CUCGGGGCUGGGACGUGCUUUCUGCCUCUGCCUCACUCAGCAAACGCUUGGUCACUCAGCAGCUUGCUCUCGGCAUGCACCUGGCAUAUCUCAUCCUCACCGUCUUCCUGGGCCAGCUCCUGGGCACCAGGGGGCAGGACACGGUCACCCAGGAAGAUGGACCAGUCACGGUGAAGCAGGGACAGCCCUUCCACACCACCUGCAAAUACCACGGCAGUACUUUUAAUGCCUUGCUCUGGUACCAGCUGAGGAAAGGCCAAGCCCCACAGCUCAUCUCCUAUCAAGCAGGGAGUGGCCCCAGGCCCAGUGGCCGAAUCACCACAUACCUGAACACCACAAGCAAAUCCAGUGUCCUGAAGCUGGAGGAAGUGGAGCUCUCUGACAGUGCCUUGUACCUCUGUGCUGUGCAAGACACCCUGGUGCAGAGAGCUUCCUCAGCUGUGCAACAACCCAGGGCAGGGAGGGGAUGAGUCAGUGCAAGGCUGAGCUUGGGGAAGGACCCUGAUGGCACCCCAGUGCUCACCAGAAUUUGCAUCCAAUUGUGUGGUCAAUGGUUUUCAUGAUGUCCAUCCUGACACUACCCUUGGGAAACUAUUUUGGACUACUUGGACUCAUUUCCAUCCUAUUGUGCUGUCUGUAAGUAAAGA